GGUUUGGAGGCAGCAGGGAAAACCGUGCAAAAGGUCCUUUGUGAGAGAGGAAACUCGCUUAUGAAUAACAGGGCUGGACGCCGUAAAAGCUGGCGGCUGGAAUCCGUGUUUCUCAGGCGCCACUGUCUUCUCUCGACUCUUUAUCUCUGGUUUUUAUUUUGUUUCCCCUUGUUUGCUUUUAAUGUUGUUUCUUCCUCUUCUUGCACCAGUUGUGACUUUUCUUCCUCCUCUAAGGUGCCCGAAGGCCGCCUAAUUAGCUCCCCCGGACGCUGCCCGACUGUUUUUCCUUCUCGAAGCUGUUAAAAUUGGGGCUGGUUGGAAGUGACUGUUUUCAUAAAACCUCGGCUGGAGGAGACAGGGGAGGAAGAAGGUGCCCGGGAGGGCACGGUGUGGGCAGGGCAGCAGAAAGUCAUAAACCCCAGGGAGGGCGGAGGUGGGCAGAGCUGGUGCAGAGACCCCCCCGCCCCGCCCCAGCUCAUCAGAAGGCAACACGGAGACACUUUGGGAGGACAGUGGCAUUUGUGAGACACCCAGCGCCUGGCCCCUCAGCUGAUUGCAAACAGAAGUGAUCGCCACCCCCCAGGUCUGGAUAACACAGCACAUGCAAAGCAGUGUAACCCGGCCCAGACGAGGCCGCCCUCAAUGUAGUGGCCCUGAGCACCAGUCUGCUGACUUCCGUCCCCAGGCCUAGGAGGAUAGGGUGCCGAGGACGAAGUGGCCCCUUCUCUCAGGAGCCCCAGGUGGAGCUGUGCGGAGGUGGCAGUGGCACCAGCCGUAAUUCGUGGCACAGAGAGAUGGAGGAGGCGGCACUGGGAAGUGCCUGGGGACUUCAGAGGAGAAACAUACCUCCCCCUGCCUGCAGUGGAGGUGGACUCUUCCUGGCUCACAAGGGGCUCUGGCCAUAACUUUGCAACUCUUAGACGCCUGGGACCUCGAGGGCCCUCCCAGCCCAGACACAGAGUGAUCCUUGAUUCACACCAUGUUCCCACCCUCGGCAAACAGCCGCCAGCUCCAACUGUUCAUACAUUUCCUGCCUGUCACCCUUGGCGCCCCGGCCAGGCCAGCCGGAGGCGCUGGGGGUGGCUGGUCCUUACCUGCUUCCAGUUCCCUGGGAAGUUUGGAGGCCAGAAGCCCAGGCCUGAGCUUGUGCCCAGAAUAACUUCAGCAGAGCCUGGCCCUGGGAGAUGCGGAAGCAGAUCUGCCAGAUGCAAAGAUGUAUGGGCUGGAGUGUUAGAGAAAACACAAACACCAGCUUGUGGUGCAGUUUGCACAAGCUGAAUUCACUCCCAUGAAACGCGACACAGGUCUGCCUGAGCACAGGCAGGGUGUGUGGAACUCUCGGUGGGGAGAUGGAAUUGAUUUAAAUGUUUUCCUUCUGUUCCCUUGCUUGUAUUUUCAAAUUUUUCUAUAAUUAACAUGUACUGCCUCCUCAUUUACAAAAAUGUUAACAGUUUUAUUGAGAUUCUAGUUUAUCCAUUGAAAGUGUGCAAUUCAGUGGUUUUUAAUAUUUUCGCUAAAAUGUGGCCAUCACCACAGCCAAUUUUAGAGCAUUUUCAUCAGCCCCCGAAGAAACCUCAUACGCUUUCACUCACUUUCUACACCCCAGUCUCCCUCUCCCUCCCAAUCUAUAGAUUUCCCUGUUUUGGACAUUUCGUGUGAAUGGGCUCAUAUAAACUGUGGGCUUUUGUGUCUAGCUCUUUUCAGCUAGCAUACUGUUUUCAAGGUUCAUCCAUGUUCUGUUAUAUAUUAAUAUUUCAUUCCUUUUCAUGGCUAAAUAAUAUUCCAUCA